CUUUAUAGAGUCCCUUGGAAUUCUCAUCUCAAACCAGUGACUUCUCCAUCACUUCAGCUAUUAAAUUCAUUGGGCCAGGCAGAGAAGAGUGCAUUCACUGUGCGAAAAACUUCCACUUCCACGACUGGAAGUGUGUGCCAGCCUGUGGUGAGGGGUUCUACCCAGAGGAGAUGCCGGGCUUGCCCCACAAAGUGUGUCGAAGGUGUGGUGAGAACUGCUUGAGCUGUGCAGGCUCCAGCAGGAACUGUAGCAGGUGUAAGACGGGCUUCACACAGCUGGGGACCUCCUGCAUCACCAACCACACGUGCAGCAACGCUGACGAGACAUUCUGCGAGAUGGUGAAGUCCAACCGGCUGUGCGAACGGAAGCUCUUCAUUCAGUUCUGCUGCCGCACGUGCCUCCUGGCCGGGUAAGGGUGUCUAGCUGCCCACAGAGGGCAGGCACUCCCAUCCAUCCAUCCGUCCGUCCACUUUCCUCCAGACUGUCGGCCAGAGUCUGUUUCAGGAGCGGCGCCCUGCACCUGACAGCUUUAUCUCGCCAGGAGCAG
rnacentral:sRNA from 1 species